AAAAGCUCGAGCUGCGGUCCUCGGAGGUCGCUCUGCGCUCCUGCCCGGGUGGGAGCUCCGCGGAGGCCGCCGCGUCCCGUGCCCAGGUCUUCCCCGCGUAACGUGGCGGACGUGGCUGGAAAAGCGCAGAAACCUCGGGCGGGGGCGCAGCCCGGAGCCCUGCAGCCGUCGCACGGGGAAGAGGUGCCGCGGCGAGAACCAGCACAUUCCAGAGGAAUCCAAAGCAUCUGUAAUCUCCUGCUCUCACGUCCCACUGGGAAGGUGCCUGAACCCUAAUUAUGCCAGCCUGGCCUGGAGAUUUGAAUCGUUGCUUUAGGAAAAUCUGCAGCUGUAAUGACUUCCUGUUGCCACAACCCAGGAAGACUCAAAGUUCGUGUCACCUGCACCUGUUUUUCCACAAGACUCUAGACGUGUCGUUCAAAAGUAUCCUGAAAUAUUUUUCAGACUGCGUCGUGGUCUAGGUGGCUUGGUGGUGUGAAUCCAGGGUGCAAAGGUUAACUUCAAACUCUGGAGAGUGUCCUUUGAUCUCAACCCUUGUGUUUUAUGAGGCUGCAGCUGUGAAGCGGUGCUCUCCAGGCAAGGGAUAAGGUGAGCGUGCGUGUGAACAUCCAAAUAAGUACUUUAAAAACUGAGUACAACGCGGAGACCUGGUUGUUCCUGGUCUGUCACUGCCCCAAGCAAAACUUCCCAAAUGUUACAUCCUCCUGAACAUGGGCAAGUCUGAUUAAAACGAAGCCAUCUGGCCGUAAACUCAA